GCCAUCUUAAGCCUCAUCAGAAAGGAGCUCUGCCCCCCUCUCUUCACCCUGCCAUUUUCCACCAUGUGCCUGUGUGUAACCUGUAUGUUGUGUUCAAAGUUAUUCUCGUGACGGUCCCGUCUCUGUUGCUCUCCUUUUAUUGGAGCUUUCAAAGCCGUCAGUGGGACACAAAGUGGAAGACAUCAUUUGAAUUUCAAAGGCCUGACAGAACACAUUGCCUCUAUCAGCUGAGUAAAGGUCCUCUUUUCGACAGGAAAAAGUGCCUUCGGAAUUAAUCAUCCACGCUGAGAGUCCUCCUGGAUGCUGCUUCCUCUGCCAGCAAGGCGAACAGCCGAGGAGGUGGUUUGAGAGAGCAGGAAGCCGUAGCCAGACUUGAUGAAAGAGCUGAAAGCCCCCACCCUGCUAGCUGCCUUUUUGACAAGAAGAAACAAGUGUUUUUAUGGGACAAACAGCAUGAGGCCAUCUUGUUCUCAUUUGUGCUCUUCACUCACAUCAGUGUAUUUCUUCUGUUUUACAAAAGACAGAUCUUAAACGGUGUCAUUUUCAGUGCACCCCGGGGGAAUGUAAAAUGACCCAUGACAACACAAAGCUGGAGCUUCUCCUGAGCCUCCAGAGGACCUGUUCGAGAGACAACGAGCAGCAGACAGCUUCCAGCCGUCAUUGCUAUGAGCUAAUUAGCCAUCACUAAUGUGAAUCAGCUUCCAUUUUUACUCACUUUGAUUUACUGGGUCCCCAUUACAUCUCCAUGGAGACAAUGCAGUCUUUACAGACUGCUGUGGGCUCUGUGCACCACAUGAUACCAUAAAAAAAUAAAUAAAUUAAAUAAAUUAAAUAAAAUAUAUUUAUAGCUUCUAGUAUCACCAGUCCCUCUUGGAGAAGAGUCCUGUGAGUCGACUAUUGAGAUCAGAUGUCCUCAUCACCUGCCAGAUCUUCAUCUGCAGGUUUGGACUUUGGUCCAGAUGAUGAGCAUAUAGGUUAACAUGUUGUUUUAGUGGCCACAAGCAUCUGAUCAUGCCACUAACAGCCCUACUCUACAAGCAUAGGCGGACUGGCAAUCUGGCAGUUCUGGCAAAUGCCAGAAAGGCCAAUGCACUCUUUGGCCGAUUUGGGCCGCUGGAAAAAAGGAAAAAAAAAAUGCGGCAACACUGGUUUCUCACACCAGUUUGACAAAAAUAUGCAAAGACUGUACGGCUGCAGCCUGGAGCCUCCCAUCUGGUGCCGUCUGGCUUCUACUUUUCAAAAUAAAAGUUUGCUUCUGG